GGGGGCUGGGGCAGGAAGAAGAAGGAGGAGGAAACAGCUGCCCCCAAAGCGCCACACAGAUGCUCUGUGCAGGGUUGGCUAGAAUGCCAAGAAGAAGCAACUGUCUGAGAUGUUGCUGGGGAAAUGGGAGGCAACAGAGAAUGGAGAAGGCAGGAAGAUGCCUGCCUGCAUAUUCCAAAAUUUCUGAGUGCAAAAAUCCAUCUUUUUCACAAAGUGACAAUGGAUGAUGUCCAUCCCUGAAAUCAGGAAAUAUGAUGGAGUUUUCUUCUCUGAUACCAACAAGACUAUCUUUUGUACAGUAUAACAAUGUGACACCAAGUUUUCUCGUUUGUUUAAUCACAUCAUACUGUAGAUCUCAGUGGGAAUGCAAGGAUUAUAAUUACAGCACCUGUCCAGAUUACAGCCUUAGUUUGUGUUAUUUGGCAGUCCACAUAAUCAUCCAGUUCCUCAAAUAUAAAGUUAGGAAUACUGAAUUAUACUUUCUUGAGGCUGAAGUCAUUAAC